rfam:Salmo salar isolate Sally breed double haploid chromosome ssa03, whole genome shotgun sequence.
UGCAUUCACUACUGUAAGUCGCUCUGGAUAAGAGCGUCUGCUAAAUGACCUAAA